AUUGAACGCUGGCGGCAUGCUUUACACAUGCAAGUCGAACGGUAACAGGCCUUCGGGUGCUGACGAGUGGCGAACGGGUGAGUAAUGCAUCGGAACGUACCCAGAGGUGGGGGAUAACGCAGCGAAAGCUGUGCUAAUACCGCAUGUGAUCUGAGGAUGAAAGCGGGGGACCGAGCAGCAAUGUUUGGCCUCGCGCCUUUGGAGCGGCCGAUGUCGGAUUAGCUAGUUGGUGGGGUAAAGGCCUACCAAGGCGACGAUCCGUAGCUGGUCUGAGAGGACGACCAGCCACACGGGGACUGAGACACGGCACAGACUCCUACGGGAGGCAGCAGUGGGGAAUUUUGGACAAUGGGCGCAAGCCUGAUCCAGCAAUGCCGCGUGCGGGAAGAAGGCCUUCGGGUUGUAAACCGCUUUUGGCAGGAACGAAACGGUGUCCGCUAAUACCGGGCGCUAAUGACGGUACCUGCAGAAUAAGCACCGGCUAACUACGUG
rnacentral:rRNA from 1 species